GAAUUUUGGACAAUGGGCGAAAGCCUGGUCCAGCAAUGCCGCGUGCAGGAUGAAGGCCUUCGGGUUGUAAACUGCUUUUGUACGGAACGAAAAGAUUUGGGUUAACACCCUGGAGUCAUGACGGUACCGUAAGAAUAAGCAUCGGCACACUCCGUUGCCGGAGCCGCGGUAAUACGUAUUGUGCAAGCGUUAAUCGGAAUUACUGGGCGUAAAGCGUGCGCAGGCGGUUUUGUAAGACAGAGGUGAAAUCCCCGGGCUCAACCUGGGAACUGCCUUUGUGACUGCAAGGCUAGAGUACGGCAGAGGGGGGUGGAAUUCCGCGUGUAGCAGUGAAAUGCGUAGAUAUGCGGAGGAACACCGAUGGCGAAGGCAACCCCCUGGGCCUGUACUGACGCUCAUGCACGAAAGCGUGGGGAGCAAACAGG
rnacentral:rRNA from 1 species